UUCACAGAUAAGAUAAAGAUAUACGAAUGAACAAUGGAGGCUGAACAAUGUGAUGAAAUGGGCUAAAAGUGGGUAAUUCACAACUGCCUGCAUAAAAAUUGCCAAUAACACUGAAAAUGUGCUCAACAGUAGAUUGAAACCGUAUCUACCGAAUGAUCUCAAUGAUGAAGACGGACAAUUCCAACUAUUGGUGAAGACGGGACAAGUGGAAUUUUCACACGUUGCUGAGAGUACACCAUUGGGCAACCUCUUUGGAAAACUUGCUGAAUCCUUAUAUACAAGGUCCUUCUGAAAUCCUGAGUUCAAAACACAUCACUCUGUAUGAUCAACCAAUGCAUUAUAGUACAGGGACUUUGCGUGGAUAUUUUUUAGCAUUUGUCCCUCACACCAGAAUUCUGUUUUACCAGAAAUUAUCACCACGAUUAUGGACUUUACACUGAAAACACUGGAAAUGCCUUUUAUCUAAAGAGCCAUUGACAAUCUUUUUUUUUUUUUCUCCAGUGGUUAGAUAGUAAAUAUUGCUGGCUUUACAUGCCCACUACUGAACUUUGCCAUCAUGGUGAGAAGGCGGUCAUAGAUAAUGUGCAAACAAAUGCAUAUCCUUGUUUUCCAAGAAUAGUCUAUUCAUAAAAACAGGUGGUAGGCUGCAUUUGGCCCAUGAGCCUUAGAUGGGAGAAGAUAAAGAAGAUGAAAAAAACUACAAUGCUGAGAGCGGUGUGUUU
rnacentral:lncRNA from 1 species